rnacentral:misc_RNA from 1 species
CCUGUUCGAGCGUCAUUAUGACCAAUCCCGAAGGGUCUUGGGGUCCGCGGUUCGCUGCGGCCCUUAAAAUCAGUGGCGGCGCGCCGGUGCUCUCAGCGUAGUAAUACUCCUCGCUCGGGAACCACGGUGGAUGCUUGCCAGCAACCCCUUAAUUUUCAAAGGUUGACCUCGGAUCAGGUAGGGAUACCCGCUGAACUUAA